CAGCCGCGGUAAUACGGAGGGUGCAAGCGUUAAUCGGAAUUACUGGGCGUAAAGCGCACGCAGGCGGUUUGUUAAGUCAGAUGUGAAAUCCCCGGGCUCAACCUGGGAACUGCAUCUGAUACUGGCAAGCUUGAGUCUCGUAGAGGGGGGUAGAAUUCCAGGUGUAGCGGUGAAAUGCGUAGAGAUCUGGAGGAAUACCGGUGGCGAAGGCGGCCCCCUGGACGAAGACUGACGCUCAGGUGCGAAAGCGUGGGGAGC
rnacentral:rRNA from 1 species